rnacentral:rRNA from 1 species
AUAAAAAAUAUGAUCUGCUCUAUGUAGAGGUUUAUAAAUGGCUGCAGUAUUCUGACUGUACAAAGGUAGCAUAAUCAUUUGUUCUUUAAUUGGGGACUGGUAUGAAGGAUUUUACUUUAAUUUAAUUGUCUUUUUAAUUUGUUAUUAAUUUUAUUUUUGCGUGAAGAAGCGUAAAUAUUAGAAAAAGACAAGAAGACCCUAUGAAAGUUUAUAUUAUAUUAAUUUAUUAAUAUUAUUUGAAUUUUUUAAAAUAUUUUGUUGGGGCGAUGGUUUGUAUAAACAAAAUGUUAGUAAUUCUAUAUAAGUUUUGUGAUCUUUUUAUAAUUAUCUGAAUAAGUUACUCUAGGGAUAACAGCAUAAUUUGCUUUGAUAGUCCAUAUUGGUAAGCA